UGCUGGGAUGGUGGGUGGCUGGAAGCAGAACUGAAAGAAAAAGCAAGAGAGAAGCUUUCGAAAUUUGGCUCUUGCAAUCGCCCAUCUGCCUGGAGCCUUGGGACUAUCACUUCCUGCCCUUCCGUGGCACAAAUCCGUGGCCAUAACCCACGUUGCCAGUGCCGGGGGCGCGGGCAACGAUCAGGGGACACAAGGCAGCUGCCGACACAAAAGAGGCGCUGGACAGACCAGUAGCUCCCAGGCCCCGGGGCCGCUGGGCUAGAAGCCGGCAAGGCUGCCCGUCCCCUGCCGCAGGUGCCUGAGGCUCCAAAGGAAAAUCCCCAUCCAGGGCUUUUGCUGGGUGACAGGGCCGCAAACUGGAGUGACCAACACUGGUUCUGCCAUGCCAGCGGCUCUCCUUAAACUCCCCGGGGCUGCCACUGCCCCCGGGGUCCUGGCCUCCAGGCCCACCGCUCGGCCCAAGACCUCACAAGGCAGAACGACGCGGCCCCUGAGGAGAAGGCCUAGCGCAAAAGAAAGCCCGAGAAGCGGACGGGGCGGAAGGCGCAAGCAUGGGAAAUCAGCUUGAGGAGGAGGCCCCUGGGGGGCUCAGUCGAUUAAGCGUCCGACCCUUGGUUUCCGCUCAGGUCACGAUCUCACGGUUUCAUGAGUUCGAGCCCCGCAUCGGGCCCCGUGCUGACGGCGCAGAGCCUGCUUGGGAUUCUCUGUCUCUCUCCCGCUCUGCCCCUCCCCUGCUCACGCUGUCUCUGUCCCUCUCAAAAUAAAUAAACAAACUUUAUUUACUUUCUUAUUGUUUUGAGACAGAGGGAAAGCACGAGCUGGGGAGGGGCAGAGAGAGAGAGGGAGACAGGAACCGAAGCGGGCUCCACGCUGACGGCACAGAGCCUGAUGCGGGGCUCAAACCCACAAGCCGGGGAGCUCAUGACCUGAGCCGAAGUCGGACGCAUAGCUGACCGAGCCACCCAGGUGCCCCUCAAAAUAAAUAAAUACACCUAAAAAGAAUAAAAAUAAAAAAAAUAAAAUAAGCGUGAGGUAUAUAUAUACUGAAGGAGAAAACGGGCGUGACCUCAUGUUUGCGCAUGCCCGGAAGCCAACUCGGUGUCCUUUGGCUGGGGGACUGUCCUCGGGCUGCCGGGCUCCCUUGGCCCCCACACACAGCAAGUUAGAAGUGCGCGCUGAUUCGAAUUGAGCCCUUAACCAAUAAUUGGAGCUCCGGACAGGGAUGAAACGUGGUUGCCCUCUUGUCCCAGACGGCGGUCAACUCUGAGACGUGACCUACCUGCCCUGGCUCCCAGAGGUCCCUGCGGGACCGAGCUCAAGUACCCUCCAUGGGACUUUGUGCGGUAACACACCCUGGCGUGGGCCCCUUCCUUCCUCAUCCCAGUUUCCCACGCCCCUAUUUGGCUUCCCUGAAAGCGGGUCCUAACAAAUCACUUUCAGCCCGGGGUAACCCUUGUCAGUGAACGACAUGGCUAUCUCUCCCGCUGCCCACACCACAAACCUUAGAACCCACCUGGACCCGGACCCCAUUCUCUCUCUCACCGCCACAUCCCAUCCUCCGUGUCUCUGGAAUCUUCUCUCUCACACAGGCGCGUCCUGCACGGACGACUGAAACAGCUCCUACCGAGGAGGGGCUCCCUGCUGCCUCGGGCUGAAACCUAGUCUUCCGCGAACUUGCAGGGCCUCUCCUACCCUCCCCCCUCGCACCCUUCCAGAGUCGGACACCUGACCAAGCAGGGCCGGUGAGACCCUCCUCCAGAAUUUUUGGACCCGGGAUGGAGAAAAGUGACCGCAUCUCUGACUAGGUGGCCACAGCUGUGAGACAUAACGCCCCAAAGCGCCAGGCAUCAUAUUCUCUGCGGCUCGAAGAAAGUAGCCUUCCCUAGAACUCGAGGCAACAAUGUGUCUGAACCGAGUUUUGUCCCUUGCAACAGACGAGGCUUACUUCCUGGACUAUUUGAACUCUUUAUAUAUUGGUGAAAUGAGCCUUUCGCCUGUGAUCACCCUUCCUUGAAAUCGUACACUGCAGAAGACAGGCCUAAUGGCAAGCAAAGGAGGGAAACAGACAACCGAGAUUGAGCAGAAGCUCGAGAAAGAAAGGCCGGACAACCCGGGGGCUUGGCCAAGUUCAUCCUGACCACGAAGGACGGAGGCCAGCCGUGAGCAGGAGGCAUCUACUGUUAGGCAGACUUCCCCCCCACCCCCCACCUUGCUGCCUCCAGGUUGAAGCGUUAUAUAAACACAUGCUAAAACCACGGGGCUAAGGCUCCGAGUGCUGAACAGUGCCCAGGAGAGGGUGAUCCGUGCAGGCUGGCGUAGCCAAGAAUUCUGGCCAGGCCCCAGACAACCUGUUCGGCUCCCUUCCCACUACCCACCCAAGCCCCACCAUUUGGGGGUGCUUCCCCUGGUCACCCGUGCUUAUUUAUGUAUAUGGUGCCCUUCCUGGGAGGAGAGCUGGCUCACUAAUGGAAAAUCAGAGCACUGGUUCCCUAAAGACAUAUGCCUGGACUGCAGGGGCCCCUAUGGAGGACAGGCCACCUCUGCAGGGACGCAUGUGGUCAUGCAUUGCACACAAGGAUAGUUCUUCCCACGUACCCAUCGUGCCUGACUAUAUUUCACAUUAUAAGUGGGGAAAGUGGGGAAAGACUGGAUGACUCAGUCGGUUGAGCCUCCAGUUUCAACUCAGGUCGUGAUCUCGUCCGGCAUCAGGCUCGCUGCGGCCAGCAUGGAGCCCCCUCAGGGUCCUCUGUCCCCCUCUUUCUGCCCGUCUCCUGCU